GACGUAUCAUUUGAUGGUAAAGUUCAUGAGGGAACAUGGGAUCGAUGAGCUCUAAGGUGACCAAGCCCUAUUACAGCAAUGUUGCAUGAUAGCUCUUCAAAGAGCCACACCACCCAUAGAACUCCUUGUUAAAGGAUUUGAUGCCCAUGAUAGGUCGACUGACCAAUGCAUAAAGCCUAUGGAAGACCUAACCAUGGUCCCCUUGAGGAUGGGAAGAAAGAGCGAACAGUUCCCAUUAGGUC
rnacentral:lncRNA from 1 species